rnacentral:misc_RNA from 2 species
AACGCACCUUGCGCUCCCUGGUAUUCCGGGGAGCAUGCCUGCUUGAGUGUCAUGGUAUCCUCAUCCUUCAUAUCUUUUUGUUAUCGAAGGCAUGGACUUGGAGGUCGUGCUGGUUCCUCGUUGAAUCGGCUCCUCUUAAAUGUAUUAGCGUGAGUGUAACGGAUCGCUUCGGUGUGAUAAUUAUCUGCGCCGUGGUCGUGAAGUAACAUAAGCUUGCGCUUCUAACCGUCCUUAAGCUGGACAACAUAACUUUGACAUCUGACCUCAAAUCAGGUAGGACUACCCGCUGAACUUAA